AACAGUUAAUAUCCAUCUUCACAUAUGGUUGGGAAAACAGAAUCCAAAAGAAAAUAAUUGUUAGAAUAGUAGCUAGCUUUCCUUCUCUUUCACAACAGCUAAUUUCAAUCUAAUCUCUUAUCUCUCACGUUGGAGAUCUGUUUUGCACAAAAGAGAUACAAAUAGCUUUCCUUCUAUUACGUGGAAGCAGUUAAUUUCCAUCUAAUCUCUCAUCUCUCACGUUCAUGAAUUUUGGGUGCAGAUUCCUGGAUCGCUUCUCUCUCGAACUCUGGAGCGGCCGCUGCAUGCCCUACUAGAAGCAGCUGAUCAUCGUCUUUCUCACAUCUCAAGGGUGGAGGCAUGUAUGGAUGUGGUGCAGCGGCAUGCCGAAUAUAGGGCCAAACCCUAGAGCUUCAUGGUCCAACUGGGGUCCUAUCCUUUGCCAUGCCCACCGGUACUGCCAUAACUUUGUCAAUUGAAGUCUUCACCCAGAUGUACUUCUGAAUCAUGCUAAUUAACCUGACCAUGUAAGCUGCCGCACACAUCAAGAUCCAUCAAUAAAUCAAAGAAGAGUUCCUUCAGCCUCCUACUCCAUGCCAUGGGUUCGUCAUUGCAGCGCCCAGCUGUACAAUACGUAUAGUUUGGUGCAGCCGUGUUGCUGAAUGGAAGCAUAUAUUGUUUUUUGCCCUUGCCUAUUACUCUUCGACGAUGAACAACCUUGACCUGUGAUUAUUUGAUGCCUGCAGAACAUGCACAGAUACUUAGAAAGGAUCAAUCCAAGAACGAUUUCAUGGUCGGUGCUUUAAUUAGCUAGCAGCCAAACACACACGUACAUGUACGCCAGCUGCGCAAGCAGGCAAGUCGAUUGAUUCUGGCGUGAAGGAGCCUCCGCAGCAAAUGCUUUGGGCAGCAGGAGGCGCUAUGUUUUGUUCUGUAAAUUCUCCCACAUCAAGUCUAACUGGUAUAUCACGUGUGGAUCCUUUGCGUAGACAAAAACGUGGCAGGAGGCUAUAGCUUUUCAAAUUAUGUCCACUAGAUUUUUUUUUGCGG
rnacentral:lncRNA from 1 species